AUGAGAAGUAGCAGCUUCCUCCUCCUCCUCCUCGCCGGUGCUGCUAUUCUUUACACACCCACUGCAGCUGCAGCGCCUGAUGGGGAAUGGCAACCGAUCCCCAAUGUCGCCGACCCUCAUGUCCAAGGGCUCGGCAAGUGCGCGGUGGACGAGCAAAACAAGGUGACAAACUGCGGCCUCAGGUUCGCCAAGGUUGUGAGCGGCAAGGUUCAAAACACAGGCGGCACCACAUACCUGCUUGACGUCGACGCGCUGCGGCUCGACGGCUCGCACAAAAUAUAUCAGGUGGAGGUGAUCGACCACAACUCCUCGGGCAGUUCCACAUGCAAGCUCCUCUCCUUCGGCACAAACUGUUGA
rnacentral:rRNA from 1 species